AAUUAUGGAUUUUGAUAUGACCCAUGGAUAGGUAAAGGUAAAGGUUGUCCCCUGACAUUAAGUCUAGUUGUAUCUGACUCUGGAGGUUGGUGCUCAUUUCCAUUUCAAAGCCAGCAUUGUCCAUAGACAUCUCCUAGGUCAUGUGGCCAGCAUGACUGCAUAGAGCACCGUUACCUUCCCAACAGAGUGAUACCUAUUGAUCUACAGUGUUCCCUCACUUAUCACACGGUUUAUGUUCCAGGACCACCCACAAUAAGUCCGAACUUACUUGUCCAAAUGUGUCUCCCGCUAUGACUCACCACGUAAUUUAAGAUCCUUAGGGGAAGCCCUGCUUUCGGUCCCACCAACCUCACAGGUGAGGCUGGCAGGGAUGAGAGACAGGGCCUUUUCAGUAGUGGCCCCCCAAGUGUUAAAGAAUUAAGACUUGGUUGUUGGACCAGGCUUUUGAAUAAUAGUGUAGAGAUACAGUUGUCCUAUUACUAGCUAAUAUACAGGAUAGAACAAUGGUAACAAAUUAUAAUCAUUACAGGCGCAUGAGUAAUGCACAAAUGAAAACUGUUUACAACAUUACAUCAAAUAUUAUAUUCAUGCUUGUAUGUUUUUUCAGUAGGGACACUAUAUUUAUUUUAAUAUUUAUACUUUAUUUUAGCAGUUACAAUAUACAGUAUACCGGCAGAGAAGAAGAAAGGAAGCUGAAUAACCCUUUUUUUAAUUUCCAACCCCCAGUGGCGUAGUGGGUUAAAACCUUGUGACUUGAAGGUUGGGCUGCUGACCUGAAAGCUGCCAGGUUCGAAUCCAACCUGGGGAGAGCGCGGAUGAGCUCCCUCUAUCAGCACCAGCUCCAUGUGGGGACAUGAGAGAAGCCUCCCACAAGGAUGGUAAAAACAUCAAACAUCCGGGCGUCCCCUGGGCAACGUCCUUGUAGAAGGCCAAUUCUCACACCAGAAGAGACUUGCAGUUUCUCAAGUCCAACCCUUCCCUACCCUUCCCCUCUCUUAUCUCUCCCUUUCCCCUGCUUCCAGGAGAGGAGAAAAGAGGAGGAGAGCCAGGAGAGGCACCUGGGAGGCUUGAGCCCAUAUCGGCCCUUCGCAGAGUCCUGCAGGCCUGGUGAGGGCUACCCAGGCGUCAAGGUUUUAGGAUCUCAACAGUUCCUUUGCGACGGGGUCGCCUUCUGCGCCAUCCUCCACCGCCACCGGCCCGACUUGCUCAUAUUGAAAAUGAAACACAUGGAAUAAUUUGAAAUCCUCGGCUGGAGGUUUUCUCAAGCAUCAAAGCCGCAUUACGCAUCCAACGAAAGCUGCAGGGACCCCCAUUUCUGCAACGAUUGGCUUGGAGGCAGAAGUAAGUUCUCUCUUUACCCACAAGUUGUUUCCCAUUUCCUUUGCCGUGACAAGGUCAAUCGUAUGGCAUUUGGGCUCCUCGGUACCAUAAAACAGAUGGAUGUGCCCAGAAGGAGCAAGAGAUAACACCGGGAUAAUAUCGGGAUAUGGCCGCCUGCGUGUUUAAGAGAGAGAGGAAAGCAUCUUUGCAGCUCUCCACUGUUUAAAGGACAAAACAUUCUACUUAUAAAGCCAGGGAUUUGCAAAACAGAAGCAGAAAAUGGGCGCUGAAUUGUCAUGUAACACUGUCAACAAUGUGCAAAAAUGCAGUCAG
rnacentral:lncRNA from 1 species